rnacentral:lncRNA from 1 species
UCAUUUAUAGUUCAUUAUAGGUACAUCUCUACAGGCAGAACCAUCUCACAGGUGGUGUGUGUGGCGAAGCUAGUAGUGCUGCAAAAUGAAUGAACAUCAAUCACAUGUGCGCAUCCAUAGUCAGCCAUAUUUUCUACAGGAUUUGACAGUGAACACUGCCAUGAAGUGUCGUAAGACAAAGCUUAACAAAAUCCAUAAAAACAACACUGCCUUUUGGAUAAGAUUCUAGAACCUGAAAUGAAAUGUAACCUCAACGAAGGAAAAUACACGAUAUGGUGACAUCCACAACAUACGACCUCCCAAUAAAACUUGAUUUUCCUUGGGGGAAUGCUCCUGCCUCAGUCCCAAGCCUUACAGCUCCACAAAUAAAAUAACGGCACACUGGCCAACCAAUCUUCAGCAAGAUUGCCAAAAAAGUGACAUCGAGCAGUCCUUGCAAGGAAGCCGCAGUUCUACACACCGUCAUUAGCAGAUUCUUAAAAAGAAGUUCAACAUAUGGACCUUCUGCAAAAUGGACAUGGACAUGUGAACUAUACCACUACUAAGGCAACUAAAAAGCACAAUAAAUACGGUAGUACGGAUAUUAUCAAGUACCUAACUAUUUAGUUACUUAUUUUGUUGAUAGCUGAUUUAAUACCGAAUAAAAGCUGUUAGUUGCAGCUUAGUCCAAAGAUAGGUUUCGGCAUGAGAUGAUUUCGGAUAACACAAGGAACUAUUUUUUAGUGUAUGAAAUAAUUUGCUUUAUACAUAUAUCUUGUCUGAGCCAAAGCAGGUAAACUAUCGACGAUACCAGAGUGAGAAACAUUCAUGGAAAAGAUUGGCAAUAUCAAUAAGCAGCAAAAACACUAUGUUUAGUACUCCUUACGUCCCAAAAUAAGUGUCCCUGAUUUAGUACAACUUAGUCAGAAGGUUGUUUUAGACAAAUUAAUUCCACCAAAAUUUAGAAGAAAUUGAUGUGCAUGAAGAACAUUUAACACCUGAGCCACAAACUACUUUUGAUGCCUAAUUUAGUGGCAAUUAAUAAUGCAUAUCGUCUGGGCAGCGGAAGUAUAAGUGUGAUGUAGCAAAGAAUAGUCUAGCUGAAACUGAAUCGUUUAUUUAACAAGUGACAUGGGAACCCUACCUUACAUCAUUACUAAGCUUUUCAUGUGAAGAAAAAACAUCAGCAACUAUCCCAAAGAAUAUAAUAUUUGCUCAUAUUGAUGCAGCAAAAAUUACAUACCAAUGAGUAAAUUCUGCAAGUAAAUUUUGAAUAGGAAGUGCUCAUUCCCAGAUAUCCAUGAGAGUCCAGGUGUGCAACGACAAAAAUGGUGUUUGUAUUCUUUCCUCAAAUUUAUUUGUUGCCAAAUUU